AGAUAAGGACUACGCCUAAUAUUAGAGUCAAUAUUGCAUCUACUGGAAGACAACUCGGCACACCUUAUGGGGAUUCAGGUCAUGAGGGACCCUCUACAUCACAUCGAGAAGAGGGUCUGACUAUUGUGACACCAUCUAUGGUGGACACUACCAUUAGGAUAGGUUAUCCUUAUAAUUUUGAUCAGAGCCAAUUUGAACGCAC